AGAGAUAGAGAUAAAAAGAGAAAUAGAGAGAGAGAGAGAGAGAGAGAGAGAGAGAGAGAGAAAGAGAGAGAAAAAGUUUCGAAAGGAGAAGGCAAGAAUCAUCUCCAUCUCGUCUCUUCAAUUCCCCCACGAAACGUCCGGUUUCCGGUUAUUCCGAGUAUAUUAGUCAUAGCGUGCGAAUAAUCGACGAGUGGGAUGAAAAGGAUAAGUGCUAAAGGAUUUUUCGAUCUUUCUGUCUCUUUUUUUUUUCCUUUUUUUUUUUUUUUUUUUUUUAACCGAAGUAUCCAUUCAAUCCUUUCCGGGAAUAUUGAUUAUUCGUUGUUUAAUCGUCGAAAAGUAUUAUUUCCUUGAAGUUAUGCGAGUCUCUUCGUUUGAUAAUGAUCAUUCGUUCGUUCGUGAAUCAUGGCUAUUGAUGAUAAAAUUUCGAGAUACAUUCUUUCAAAUAUAUUUUUAUUAUUGUUAAAACGUUUUACUACGAGACGUGACGGGACGUGACGGGACGAGACAGAACAGGGUAGGGCAGGUUAGAGUAGGGUAGAGUAGGGCACGGCAGGGCGGGAGGUAGGUAGGUAGGUAGAUAAAUAGGUAGGCAUAGAGUGUCUCUCAGGUGACAGGUACGGAAUAACCGACCUAUCAGAGCGAGGACGUGCUUGGAGACGGAAAAAAAAAAAAUGAAUGACGUCGCAUUGAUGUCCUCCAAGGCACGAUUAUAUUCCUCUUGCACUUUCGAUUCCUCCGGACUUAUGGGAGUAGCACCGCAAGCAAACUCGUUAUCGAUCGACUGUAAAAAUCGUUUGUGCCGUCAGGACCGGUGAUCAUAACCGGAAUCGGAGUCGGUGGAGUCAACGGAGGUGCAUGCAUGUGAAGACCACCGAGAGAAGAGGCCAAACUCGAACCGGAACUUGUAGUCAGAGAACUGCUCGAGACGUCGUGAUAUGGAAAUGCACCUGAACUCACGCGUUCUGCGACGAAACAAUAAUCAAUUUUCCUUCGAUGGGAUUGUUUAAUAUUCGUUCGAAGUAAUCUCGAUUAAAUUUUAAAUAAUAUAAGUCAUCAGAUAAUUGUAAUCCAGCAUCGGAAUCUUUUUGUAUUUAUUUUAAUUUUGAAUUUAUUUCGCUCGUAAAAUACUCUUUUUUUUAUUUCAACAUUACCAUUUUACUUGUCAAGAUCGGACAAUUAAAACAAUUUAUCUAUGAAUUUUUUAUCGAAUAAAAUAGUAUCAUGAUAUAUACAUAAAAAAAAAAAAAAAUAAGUCAUUUUCGAUCAGUUUUUGUCUUCUUAGGAUGUUUCCAUUGUCAGAAAAUUAAUAACAAUUAGUAAAGAUUUCUACUUAUACCACCAUCGAUAAAGUAGAAAUCGUUGUCAUCGUAUGAGAAGAUAGCAACCAAGGAUUGACUUUUUGAAUAUAUGUAUCUUUAAUAAUUCAUUUAUUCGGCAGGAAGUUUUGUAAUCUUCUCAUAAAAAGAAUGUAAAUAUUCAAAUACUGUAAGUCAACAAUAAAAUAUAGUGAUUGUUAUCAUCUUUGUCAUAGAGAUAUAAAUUCUAACCAAAUGGAAAGCAUUGUUUUUUUUUCA